rnacentral:misc_RNA from 1 species
GAUGAAGAACGUAGCGAAAUGCGAUAAGUAGUGUGAAUUGCAGAAUCCGUGAGUCAUCGAAUCUUUGAACGCACAUUGCGCCCUCUGGUAUUCCGGAGGGCAUGCCUGUUCGAGCGUCAUUAUCACCCCUCAAGCCCGGCUUGUUGUUGGAUGCAGCGCUUAUCCCGCUCCUCCCAAAGAUAAUGACGGCGUCUGCGACGACUCCUGUACACUGAGCUUUCGGGCACGUACACGGCUAGAAGUCCAGACCCGGUCGCCGUCCCCCCCGCGGGGACACCCAUUACCACAAGGUUGACCUCGGAUCAGGUAGGAAUACCCGCUGAACUUAAGCAUAUCAAUAAGCGGAGGA